rnacentral:rRNA from 1 species
UACGUAGGGUGCAAGCGUUAAUCGGAAUUACUGGGCGUAAAGCGUGCGCAGGCGGUUCUAUAAGACAGAUGUGAAAUCCCCGGGCUUAACCUGGGAACUGCGCUUCUAACUGGCAGGCUUGAGUGUGGCAGAGGGGGGUGGAAUUCCACGUGUAGCAGUGAAAUGCGUAGAGAUGUGGAGGAACACCGAUGGCGAAGGCAGCCCCCUGGGCUAACACCGACGCUCAUGCACGAAAGCGUGGGGAGCAAACAGG